AAUUUAAGCCCAGACUCUCUUCUUGCAUUGAAAACAGAACCCCAAAACCCAUUUCCUCCUCUCUUUCUUCUUUCUUCUUUCUUUGCAUUGUGUGAACAUUAUGCUCCCAUCGUUGCAGAUCUUCAGCAUCGAUACGUCCAUGUAGUUGCAGUUUGAGAUGGAAAUCAGUGUAACGAAGAAAGAAAUUUGAAGGUUAUUAUACUUAUUGCAUACCCAUAUGAGUUUGACCCCCUAAUGUCUGCUUUACAUUGUUUGUUUGGGUUGGAGUUGGACUUCAUGAGCUUGGCAUUACAUUUUGAUGAGCUAUCUGAGAUGAUCAAUUCAUCGUAUUUUGGUGUCUUGCAUUGUUCCUUUGUAUAAGUAUUUGUCAGCUUGCACAAUGAUCUAAUAUUCACAAUAUAUAUAUGCUUUGCAUUGUUUUAUGCAAAUGAUUUUUGAUGAUAUUUCACUAUACUAUACUCUAACUUUGGCCCACUGUUUACUCAUUUGCAUUGUUUAUUUCUUUUGGGUUUUUUUGUUGUUUUUUUAAACGUAAUGACUUAACAGAUUAGGUACUAUGAUUUAGUAUUUCCUAGUGAGGGUGCAUAGAACCCAGCAGCAUCCCUCUCAACAGUGAAGGACUCACCCCAACAACCAGUAGCUUCGUUAGUUUAACUAAAAUUUUCUCUUAUCAUUUGCAAUAUUAUUUAUCCUAUAAUCCAAUUGAAUAUCUGUUUUUACUGUGUAAUAGUGUGGAUUGUGGCAUCAUUGUGAUGCACAUAAUGGAGUGCAUCUUCAACAACAAACCCAUCCCCAAGCCCUUAACAGAGGAAGAUAUUCUAAGGUAUAGGGCGCACGUUAUUCACUUGCUUCUCAAUGACAAAUGCCAAUUAUGAAGAUGAUCGUGCUAUUACAACUUCGCAAAUGAACCGAACAAUUUUAUAUAUAAUUUUGGCUAAUAUGGUUGAACUAUUUCAACCAGUUAACAUUUUGCAAUGUCUGAACCAAUUGACAUAUUGUCAGUAAUAUUAGUGAACAAUGUAAUGUUCUGAUGGAACAAUUUAAUGCCAAGAAAUGAAUUUAGAAUUUUGUGAUUGCAUUGAUUUUGUAUUGUACCCUUUUAGAGAUUGAUAUGAUUGACAAAUGUAACACCCAGGUCAUUUGCACCAAUACUGAGUGCAUUGUUUAAGAACCCUUUUUUUAUGAUACAUUGGCAACCCAUGUACAUUAUAUGAAAAUUGCAUUGUCUUUUCACCUGUGUUCAUUGCCUGACUGCACACCUAUUUCAGCAUUGUCCCAUUCGUUGACAUUGCAUUGAUAUGCAUAUUGCAUUGUUUUACACACCUAGUUAAGCAUUGGUCUCAUGAUAGGAUCAUUUGCUAAUAUGAUUGAACUAUAUAUUUUGCUAGGAUGGUUGAAAUAGUUUCUCAUAUGUAAGUGGUUGGUAUAACCAAUGUAAUAAAUUCAUGGAAUAGUUGAACUCAUUGCCAUGUCUUUUCUAA